rnacentral:snRNA from 1 species
CUUAAUUCUGGUCUAAUAGUUUCACUUUUGUCAGUCAAGUGAAUAAAUACUUCACGUUGAUCGACUUCGGAACGUUCACGCUUAAUUAAGUCUACUUGUUCCAUUCGUUUUAAUAAUGGUGAUACUGUACCAGUAUCGAGUGCUAAUUCAGUUACGACUUUCUUGACGUUUACAGGAGAUUCAUCCCAUAAAAUAGUUAAGACAAGAAAUUGUGGGUAUGUUAGAUUGUACUUCUUAAAAACUUUGUUAGAGUAGUAGCGAUUAACUUGUCUUUGAGCAUUGUACAAACUAAAGCAUAGCUGUUCUUUUAAAUUAUGUUGAUCAGACAUUAAAGUUCUCC